UACAGAGGUCUCAAGCGUUGUUCGGAUUCAUUGGGCGUAAAGGGUGCGUAGGUGGCGCUGUAAGUCAGGUGUGAAAUUUCGGAGCUUAACUCCGAAACUGCAUUUGAUACUGCGGUGCUUGAGGACUGGAGAGGAGACUGGAAUUUACGGUGUAGCAGUGAAAUGCGUAGAGAUCGUAAGGAAGACCAGUGGCGAAGGCGGGUCUCUGGCCGAUACUGACGCUGAGGAGCGAAAGCGUGGGGAGCGAACAGG
rnacentral:rRNA from 1 species